GUGGGGAAUUUUGGACAAUGGGGGCAACCCUGAUCCAGCCAUGCCGCGUGCGGGAAGAAGGCCUUCGGGUUGUAAACCGCUUUUGUCAGGGAAGAAAUCCUUUGGGUUAAUACCUCGGAGGGAUGACGGUACCUGAAGAAUAAGCACCGGCUAACUACGUGCCAGCAGCCGCGGUAAUACGUAGGGUGCGAGCGUUAAUCGGAAUUACUGGGCGUAAAGCGUGCGCAGGCGGUUUUGUAAGAUCGAUGUGAAAUCCCAGGGCUCAACCUGGGAACUGCAUUGGUGACUGCAAGGCUGGAGUGCGGCAGAGGGGGAUGGAAUUCCGCGUGUAGCAGUGAAAUGCGUAGAUAUGCGGAGGAACACCGAUGGCGAAGGCAAUCCCCUGGGCCUGCACUGACGCUCAUGCACGAAAGCGUGGGGAGCAAACAGGAUUAGAUACCCUGGUAGUCC
rnacentral:rRNA from 1 species